UGGGGAAUUUUGGACAAUGGGCGCAAGCCUGAUCCAGCAAUGCCGCGUGCAGGAUGAAGGCCUUCGGGUUGUAAACUGCUUUUGUACGGAACGAAACGGCUCUGUCUAAUACAUGGGGCUAAUGACGGUACCGUAAGAAUAAGCACCGGCUAACUACGUGCCAGCAGCCGCGGUAAUACGUAGGGUGCAAGCGUUAAUCGGAAUUACUGGGCGUAAAGCGUGCGCAGGCGGUUAUGCAAGACAGAUGUGAAAUCCCCGGGCUCAACCUGGGAACUGCAUUUGUGACUGCAUAGCUGGAGUGCGGCAGAGGGGGAUGGAAUUCCGCGUGUAGCAGUGAAAUGCGUAGAUAUGUGGAGGAACACCGAUGGCGAAGGCAGCCCCCUGGGUCAAGAUUGACGCUCAUGCACGAAAGCGUGGGGAGCAAACA
rnacentral:rRNA from 1 species